AAGAAGAAAUAACAUCUAUCAAAUCAACCCUGCCUCAAAGUUCAGCUCACCCACCAGGAAUAAAACAUUUUCUACUAAAAAUGAAGAUAGAAGAGAGACAGAAGAUGCAGAAACCCCAAUUUCAUGCACUUGUGCCUGAAUAAUGUCUCCGUGCUGCUUUUUCCAGAUGGCGACCUUCUCACUGGAGGGACUAAUGAUGUGGGUAUAUUUAGGGAAAAACCAAUAACGGAGUCUUUAACCUUCAACAACAAAAAGCAUGUUGUACAAAAUGUUCCUUGGGAUACAUUAGAAAAUAUCAAUUACAUUGCUCACUGAGGUGUAAUCAGCUGUAAUAAUCAAAAUUAAUUUUUAAAAAUAAUUAAACAGACCCCAGGGCAAAUAGUUGAUGCUCUUAUCCUAUGACAUCACAGUGUACAUAUGUACCUGAGAAGUUGUGCCUUCUGUUAGCGACAAAGACAUCUCACGGAGUUGAGUGAUGGAUGCAGUGUCUGAAAGCUGGUGAGUUUCAUCUCAGCAAAAGGAGGGGGAGCGUCUACUCCCUUGCUCUAAGCACUUCCAUCUGCAUUCUUUAAGGGCCUACCGUGUAGCAGGCACUGUGCCCAUCCAAGACUGAGUUACCAGUACAAGAUGUUGCUAAGCAAAGAUGCAGUUAAUUUUAAAGAUUAAAACACAGUUCUUUUUGUUUCAAAAAUCAUUUGUCUUUUAAUAGCUACAAGAUAAUUUAAAGUGUACAAAGAAUAAAUCAAACUGAAGGGAAAGUGGGGGUCAAUGGAGAACGAAGCCAGGGAGAAGACUGCAGCUCCUUGAGAGAAGAGAAUAUGUCAGUUUUGUUCUCUGCUGUAACCUCAAUGUUGAGAGCAGGGUGCAGACUCCCAGCCAGGCUGCCCUGACCUCCUGGGGACACUGGUCAAGGAAGAGAAACUCCAGGAUGAAGCCAAGGAAAGAGGGGCUGGGCCCCUUCUGUCUCAAGUGACAUUGGUCAGGAGCAGGUUCAGUUUCCACAUCUUUAUCAACAAGUCUAUAAUACCUGUCUGAUGCAGCUAUUAUAAAAUCUGAAUUUCACAGAGAGAUCGAUCUUGAAGGCAUCCUCCAGGGUCUGCUGCCUCUGUGCCACCAGCUGCUGCCAGAGAGUCUGCACUGUCUUCUGGAUGUUGUGUUGGACUAGCAGAGAGAGCACAUGGCACACUCAGGAUGGCCUCAGUGACCCUCCCAGAGAGGGCUGGAAGAUGGUGUGUCAUGAGUGGUUUUACCCACACCCUUCUCUCUUAAGGUCUUGAACAUCACCCCAGCUUUGCAAGCUUCAGCCAGAAGCAAUCAGUAUGGAGAGCCACAAGCCUGACAACAACGCUACCAACACCCAUGUAAGCUGGCCUUCCUCCACCUCCACCUGCCUGUCACCAAUUUCUGCCUGCCUCACAUGUCUAGGACUGGGAAAUAUCAUUUAUGAGUUCAGAGACCCCCACUCCCCACCCUGUAAUUCUGUUGGAUACCAGAGGAACACCUUGUGUGAGCUCUAGGUAGUCAAAUAGCUCCACUCAAACAGCUCCUUCCAACCUUCCCUUACAUGUUGACCACUCAGGGGAAUGGACACCAAGCUCAAGGCUAUCCUGUGGCUCAGAGCUCAGGAAACAACCAGUCCUCUUUCCUGGACCUUGCUUCUCACUACCCACCCAUUUCAGUCCCCUGAAAUUCUUCAGGUAUAAGCAGAUCUAACAAGCCAACUGUGUCUGCUGUGCCCCACAUCUGUAAUACCCUGAACCACGCCUAAAUUUCUUCUGAUCUUGGACCAAUGAGUCCCGUCUCUGGACCAAUGAGCCCCUGGAGACUGUUUCUCUCACCCUAAGGGAAUGGACAGUGCCCAGCCCAGCUCUACCAGCCAAGUCCCAAAGUGUGUACAUCCAUGUUGUAAUCAACACCAUGUCCAAUAAACUUUAAAGUCACGAG